ensembl:lncRNA
CCCGGGGACACGUGUGUGUCCGAGUAAAAGACAGCAUCCGUGUACUCGUAUUGAAGCCCAUGCUGCUAUAGCUGUUGACCUUCAACAACCCCUGAGGGAGUUCAGUGGUCAUGUAUGGAUGUGAGAGGUGGACUAUAAACAAAGCUGGGCACCGAAGAAUUGAUGCUUUUGAACUGUGGUGUUGGAGAAGACUCUUGAAAGUCCCUUGGACUGCAAGGAGAUGCAACCAGUCCAUUCUGAAGAUCAGUCCUGGGUGUACAUUGGAAGGACUGAUGCUAAAGCUGAAACUCCAAUAACUUUG